CGCGGGGGCCUGCUCUCUCCAAAGAUCCGGAAGGCUCGUUCUUCUGGUGAUUACUUUGGCCUCGGGUCGGACGAGGCUACCCGCUGAACU
rnacentral:rRNA from 1 species